rnacentral:rRNA from 1 species
AUUGAACGCUGGCGGCAGGCCUAACACAUGCAAGUCGAACGAGUGGCGGACGGGUGAGUAAUGUCUGGGAAACUGCCUGAUGGAGGGGGAUAACUACUGGAAACGGUAGCUAAUACCGCAUACCAUCGGAUGUGCCCAGAUGGGAUUAGCUUGUGGGUGGGGUAAAGGCUCACCAAGGCGCAGAUCCCUAGCUGGUCUGAGAGGAUGACCAGCCACACGGGAACGGAGACACGGUCCAGACUCCCACGCGAGGCAGCAGGGGGGAAUAUUGCACAAUGGGCGAAGGCCUGAUGGAGCCAUGCCGCGUGUAUGAAGAAGGCCUUCGGGUUGUAAAGUACUUUCAGCGGGGAGGCGUUACCAGCAGAAGAAGCACCGGCUAACGCCGUGCCAGCAGCCGCGGUAAUAC